AAACGUGCACUAAAACUACUGGUAGUCGCACACGCACUUGAUUCACUCGCGCUUUGUUGCUGUAUUUCGCGAGGGGUCUUUUUCACGUCAGGCGCCAUGGAGGGCUCCUCGUCCUCUCAGCCGUCCGAUUCGACUCAUCCAACGGCUUCUGGCGCUUCCAAGUUCCUCGCCGACCUUCCCUCCCGGGGCCUCUUCUCCUCCACCGUCCUCUCCUCAAACCCGGGCGGGAUGCGAAUUUAUAUUUGUGACCAUGACACAUCACCUCCAGAUGGCCAACAGAUAAAAACGAACCAACAGAACAUAUUGAUUAGAUCACUCAUGCUUAAGAAACAGAAGGGCGAUUCUAGUUCGAAGGAUGUGAAGGGUGUAGCUGCAAGUGAGAGUUCUAGAAAGAGGGUUGCUGAAAGAGCUGCAGAUGGCAGGGCUUCAGCUAAGAGAGCCACUAUUCAAAAUAGUUCUCGACAAGAAGGAUCGAACAGUCAAGCAUCUAAUAGGGACUUCCACACCUUUACUGUGGAUAGGCUUCGUGCCCUUUUGAAGGCAAGAAAUCUUUCCCCUAAAGGAAAAAAGGAUGAGCUGAUUGCACGCUUGAAAGGAGCAACUGGAUAAGCAUAUGGCAGAAAGGAGAGAAGGGAUGGGGGAGGGGGAACAAAUCUGCCCUCCUUGUCUACACAUCGAGAGCAAAAUAGAGAACUUUGCUAGCCAUGUAGUUGGAGACUAUGACAGCGUUUCAAAGAGAGUGUUUUUUUUUUUUUUUGGUGGGUUUUCAAGGAGAGUUUUAGUUUGUUUCUAAAUAUGUUUCUUCAGUUCCUUACUUGAUUAAUUCAGUGUCAAAGCGACGCUGGACUAUCAUGUUUCCCCUUGGUAUAAGUUGGGCAACUUCAGUUCAAGGGCACCUAGUUUG